GAUGAACGCUGGCGGCGUGCCUAAUACAUGCAAGUCGAGCGAACAGACGAGGAGCUUGCUCCUCUGACGUUAGCGGCGGACGGGUGAGUAACACGUGGAUAACCUACCUAUAAGACUGGGAUAACUUCGGGAAACCGGAUCUAAUACCGGAUAAUAUAUUGAACCGCAUGGUUCAAUAGUGAAAGACGGUUUUGCUGUCACUUAUAGAUGGAUCCGCGCCGCAUUAGCUAGUUGGGAAGGUAACGGCUUACCAAGGCAACGAUGCGUAGCCGACCUGAGAGGGUGAUCGGCCACACUGGAACUGAGACACGGUCCAGACUCCUACGGGAGGCAGCAGUAGGGAAUCUUCCGCAAUAGGCGAAAGCCUUGCGGAGCAACGCCGCGUGAGUGAUGACGGUCUUCGGAUCGUAAAACUCUGUUAUUAGGGAAGAACAAAUGUGUAAGUAACUAUGCACGUCUUGACGGUACCUAAUCAGAAAGCCACGGCUAACUACGUG
rnacentral:rRNA from 1 species